GGGUGCCUACGGGGCGCAGCAGUGAGGAAUAUUGGUCAAUGGGCGCGAGCCUGAACCAGCCAAGUAGCGUGAAGGAUGACUGCCCUACGGGUUGUAAACUUCUUUUAUAAAGGAAUAAAGUGAGGCACGUGUGCCUUUUUGUAUGUAUUUUAUGAAUAAGGAUCGGCUAACUCCGUGCCAGCAGCCGCGGUAAUACGGAGGAUCCGAGCGUUAUCCGGAUUUAUUGGGUUUAAAGGGAGCGUAGAUGGGUCGUUAAGUCAGCGGUAAAAGCCCGGGGCUCAACCCCGGCGAGCCGUUGAAACUGG
rnacentral:rRNA from 1 species